rnacentral:rRNA from 1 species
UACGAAGGGGGCAAGCGUUGUUCGGAAUUACUGGGCGUAAAGGGCGCGUAGGCGGCUUAUCAAGUCAGGCGUGAAAUUCCCGGGCUCAACCUGGGGGCUGCGCUUGAUACUGAUGAGCUUGAAUGCGGGAGAGGAUAGUGGAGUUCCCAGUGUAGAGGUGAAAUUCGUAGAUAUUGGGAAGAACACCGGUGGCGAAGGCGGCUAUCUGGCCCGUAAUUGACGCUGAGGCGCGAAAGCGUGGGGAGCAAACAGG